rnacentral:siRNA from 1 species
CAAACAAAUACGUACCUCGUGUCC